GUUGCUUCCAGCCUUUUGGCUAAGAUCUAAUAUUUGUUCUUAGCAGUUUAAUAUAUGAUAUGCCGUCCUCUGUCCAAAUUACAAUUUUUUUUUUUUUUUUUGAGACAGAGUCUCAUUAUGUCGCCCUCAGUAGAGUGUUGUUGAGUCACAGCUCACAGCAACCUGUAACUCUUGGGCUCAAGCAA